AAAAUCAGUAGAAUGACUUAGUUGAACUAUGCUCGUAUUUAAUCUAACCAUUAAUAAAUCUUUGUUGAUAAGAAUGAUUUGAUCAAUAAAUGAAGUUUGAAGUUUGUUAUUAUGAUGGAUUGUUCUUUUUUUUUUUUUUUAUACAGAUAAGAAGACGAAUCUACAAUGAAAUUUUCCUAAUCAAAAGAAACCUAAAAUUGAGAAAGAAUCACAAAUCUCUGCUUCAAAUUCUCAAAUUCCUCUGUUUUAUUUCCAUUGUCGUCUUCUUCAUUUUUAGGGUUUUCAGUUCUUCAAUUCUCCAUAUUAUCCCAUACAAUUCUUUCCUCAUAUCAUCAAUUUCAUCUAUACAUAAUAUCAAUUCAUCUUUCCUGCAGUUUCUCUUCGAAGAAGCCCUAAUAUUUGGAGAUCUAUCAAAUCGCUCAUGCAUCUUCUCCAGUUGAUUCAUGAUUUGACGAACAUGACGCUCUAUCAGAUCCUUUGGUGGCGGAUUAUGAUCUUGAUUGUUCUUGAGUUUUUCGUUCAAGGAUUUCGGAUCUGAAUUCAUCGCUCUGAUUCGUUCAACUACUGAAGUGUGAGUUCAUAUCUUGUUCCUGUGAUUGUUCUUCGCUCGUCUUGAUUUUCUUCUCUCUCUGUGUGAUCCUUAACCGCCCAAAUUUCGGCGCUUUACCGUCUGGUUUUAUUGGAAUGAUUCGAUUGGCUGAUCUCUAUUUUUAAACUUACUCAAAACUUUUUUAGUCCCUAAUCUUUUCACUCAUUUAUGUUUUUAGUCCCAAAAUUUUUAAGUUACCUAAUAGAUUUAUUAAUUUUUAAUUUGAAAAAAGUACAUUUUUAGUCCUUGAGUUUUAAAGGUUUAUUUGGUCCAAAAUUUUUUAAAUAGAUCUUUUUAAUCUCUAAGUUUUACAAAAAUAGGUUGAAUUGGAAUGUGUUUUGUCUUCUUUAAUGUUGAUUAACAUCUAAAAUUGAGUAAAACAAGCUUGUUUCUUUUCACUGGACCAUCUCUGUUUUCCUGGUGACAAUCUAUCUCACUACGACGAAGUCAUUGCCUUCCCACAUCUUAGAACCACAUUUUCAACUGUGUAUGAUCUCAUCACAACCCAUUUUUGCUACCAUGAACCCGCAUUUGUGGCAUGGAAAAAAGAUGGGAGUAAAUGGUAGAUGACGGGUCUGCUACUUUUGACCUUGAAAUUUGUCGGUUUCUCUCAUAGGCAACCCGUCUUUCAACCUUUUCUUAGUUGUUAAUUUUAUUUUCCUCUCAAAAAAUGCAAAACUGCACCACUGAUCACCAAAGAACACCAUCAAUUAAUGUGCAUUAUUUUUUAAAUUAUUAGGGCAAAUUUUAGCAAAUUGUUAAGAUAUGUAUUUAUUAAAAGUAUAUUUUUACAAGAAGAGUAUAGGUGUAUAAAUAUUACACUAACAGUCUUAGAAUAGAGCCUACAAAAGCUCUAACCAUGCUCUAACUAUCCUAAAGACUCUCCAACUAAGAGGACUAAGUUUACAUACACAAGUAUACAUUCACACCUUCCCUCAAACUCAAGGUAGUAAUAUUGGAAUCAUCUUAAGUUUGUUAAGUAGUUGGAGAAAACGACCGAGAGACAAAGCUUUGGUGAAAAUGGCAACGGUUGCUCAGUCAUGGAAACAGAUUGUAAAAAUAAAGUUUUACUCAGGAGAUGAUGACGAACAAAGUGACAAUCAUUUUCAAUAUGUUUGGUACGCUCAUGAAAACCAUCAUUGUGAGCAAUCUAGAUGGCACUACGAUUGUCAUAGUUAAGGAUAGUUGUAGACGAUUGAGGGACUCUCAUAUCAGCAAGAAGCCAACGAAGCCAUAAGAGCUCUGACGUAGCAUCAACUAAAGCACGAUAUUUAGACUCCGUACUAGAAUGGGAAAAACCACUCUAUUUCUUACUUUCUCAAGAAAUGAGAGAAUCACCAAGGUAGAAAUAGUAACUAGAUGUAGAACACCAGUCAAUAGGAUCACCAGCCCAAUCAACAUCAGAGUAGCCAAACAAAACCAGGGAAGACUGGGAAUAGGGCUAAAGUUCAUGUCCCAAAGUUCCUUUGACAUAACGGAGGAUACGAAGAACAACAGUAAAAUGUAUGGUUCGAGGAGCAGCCAUGAAUUAACUAACAUUAUGAACAACAUAUGCAAUGUCAAGACAAAUAACUGGCAGAUUAAAUAAGGCUGCCAACAAAUUGACGAUAAAGGUUGGCAUCUUCAAGUGGAACUCCAUCAAAUGGAGCCAAGCAAACAUUGGAAUCGAGUGGUGUUGGAGCCGUAGCACAGUCUGUGAUACUAGAGCGCACCAAAAGAUCUGAGGCAUACUUUUCUUGAGACAACAAAUAACCAGCCAAGAAAUUAACUAAGUAAGCCCAAAUCUUUCAUCUCAAAAUGUUUUCCAAGGUAGCUUUGUAGAUCAGAAAUAGCCUGAGGGUUAUCCCUAGUAAUAAUCAUAUCUUCUGUUGGGAUUGGUAUCCUAAUUCUCUCGAAGUCUCAUUGUUUGUAAUGAUUCACAUUGUUUUAUGAAUAAAAUAACUAUUAUUUCAUUAUGGCA